AACAGGGAUUGCCCUAGUAACGGCGAGUGAAGCGGCAACAGCUCAAAUUUGAAAUCUGGCUCCGGCCCGAGUUGUAAUUUGCAGAGGAUGGUUUGGGCGCGGCGCCUUCCAAGUCCCCUAGAACGGGGCGCCAUAGAGGGUGAGAGCCCCGUACGGUUGGACGCCUAGCCUGUGUAAAGCUCCUUCGACGAGUCGAGUAGUUUGGGAAUGCUGCUCAAACGGGAGGUAAAUGCCUUCUAAAGCCUAAAUACCCGGCCAGAGACCGAUAGCGCACAAGUAGAGUGAUCGAAAGAUGAAAAGCACUUUGAAAAGAGAGUCAAAAUAGCACGUGAAAUUGUUGAAAGGGAAGCGCUUGUGACCAGACUCGCGCCGGGUUGAUCAUCCAGUGUUCUCACUGGUGCACUCUGCCCGGCUCGGGCCAGCAUCGGUUCUCGCGGGGGGAUAAAGGCGCCGUGAAUGUGGCACUCUCGGGUGCGUUAUAGCGCGGCGCGUAAUACCUUCGCGGGGACCGAGGAUCGCGUUUACGAGGAUGCUGGCGUAAUGGUCAUCAGCGACCCGUCUUGAAACACGGACCAAGGAGUCAAGGUUUUGCGCGAGUGUUUGGGUGUAAAACCCGCACGCGUAAUGAAAGUGAACGUAGGUGAGAGCUUCGGCGCAUCACCGACCGAUCCUGAUGUAUUCGGAUGGAUUUGAGUAUGAGCGUAGUGCCUUGGACCCGAAAGAUGGUGAACUAUGCUUGGAUAGGGUGAAGCCAGAGGAAACUCUGGUGGAGGCUCGCAGCGGUUCUGACGUGCAAAUCGAUUGUCAAAUCUGAGCAUGGGGGCGAAAGACUAAUCGAACCAUCUAGUAGCUGGUUACCGCCGAAGUUUCCUA
rnacentral:rRNA from 1 species